AACGAACGCUGGCGGCAGGCUUAACACAUGCAAGUCGAACGCCCCGCAAGGGGAGUGGCAGACGGGUGAGUAACGCGUGGGAACAUACCCUUUCCUGCGGAAUAGCUCUGGGAAACUGGAAUUAAUACCGCAUACGCCCUACGGGGGAAAGAUUUGUCGGGGAAGGAUUGGCCAGCGUUGGAUUAGCUAGUUGGUGGGGUAAAGGCCUACCAAGGCGACGAUCCAUAGCUGGUCUGAGAGGAUGAUCAGCCACAUUGGGACUGAGACACGGCCCAAACUCCUACGGGAGGCAGCAGUGGGGAAUAUUGGACAAUGGGCGCAAGCCUGAUCCAGCCAUGCCGCGUGAGUGAUGAAGGCCUUAGGGUUGUAAAGCUCUUUCACCGAUGAAGAUAAUGACGGUAGUCGGAGAAGAAGCCCCGGCUAACUUCGUGCCAGCCGCCGCCGUAAAAC
rnacentral:rRNA from 1 species